rnacentral:sRNA from 1 species
GCUUUCAACAUCCCCGUUCCGGACGCAAACGUCGCGGAACUGAAGGC